rnacentral:tRNA from 1 species
GCGGGUGUAACUCAGCUGGUAGAGUACCUGCUUCCCAAGCAGGCUGUCGCGCGUUCGAAUCGCGUCACCCGCUC